AAGGAAACUCGCUCCCUUUUCCACCCUCCCUGAGGCCUCCUGCCCACCAGCCUGCAGACAGCUUGGCGUGGAAAUCUCCACGGGUAGGGACUCGCUGACCCUCCUUCCCUUCUGUAUCUGUAGUGUGUGGGAGGUUCUUGUCACACCCUGUGAAAUAGAUUUUGUUGUUUCAUAUUCUAUGUAAGAAGAAUUCGAGGCUUCAGAGACGUUAAGGGACUUGCUCAGGGUCAUGUAGCCAGUCGGUAGCAGAGGCAGGAUUUAUAGUCCCUGCUUGCUAGGAGAGUGCUGGAUUCAAACCUCCGCCACCUGUGAGGCUAGGGUAGAGCCAGGAUUUGGGAACCUUGCCCUUCCGCGUUGUCCCUCCCCCUCGGCCCUCGGCCCGCCCUCGGGGGGGGGGGCGCGGGCGGGGAAGCCGGAUCCUAGCAUCACUCGGGGGCUAAGUGCAGCACCUAACCGGGCACCCGUAAUCCUGAGGCCUGCUCGCUAGCGACCUCCGGAGGGCUGGGCCGGUUUGGGGUGCGGUGUGGCGAGGGGACCCACCCCGUCUUCCCGACUAUUUGCAUAACGGAGACGGCUCGUUUCCCCCGCCCCUUCGCCGCACUCUUCUUCCCUCCUUCCCGCGUCCGCGCCACCCCUCAUCCCCUGUCCCCCCGCUCCUCCCCAAAGACCCUCCUUCAGGUACUGUUGCGUUGGGGGUCCCAGCUCCCGGGCUCUCUGGCCGCCACCGGGCGAGGAGUCCGGAGGCAUCCGGGGGAGGGGAGUCCCGCGCAGGGCCGGGCUGGAGAAAACGCCUGGGGCACUGCCCCGCGCUAACAAAGGGAACCCGCUGCCUGCCGGCUGGGGCGUGGAGCUGGCUGAGCUGCCGCAGCUUCGGCGGCCGAGAGCGCAGCGAGGCCUCGCAACCCCAUCACCUGAUCUUGUGCAUGGCAUUUGCUUCUCAUAUUGUGCCCACUACCUUUCCUUUAAGGGAACUGGGUCUACCACCAGUUCCCUUAUUUAUGGGUGAGUUGCUUUCAUUUGUUUGUUUAUUUAUAUUGACGUAUAGUUGAUUUACGAUGUUGUAUUAGUUCUGGUGUAUAGCAGAGUGAUUCAUCUAUAUGUGUAUAUAUAUAUAUAUAUAUAUAUAUCCUUUUUCAUAUUCUUUUCCAUUAUGGUUUCUUAGAGGAUAUUGAAUAUAGUUCCCUAUGCUAUACAGUAAGACCUUGUUAUUUAUCUAUUUUAUAUAUAGUAGUUUGUAUCUGCUAAUCCCAAACUCCUAAUUUAUCCCUCCCUCCCUCAGCCUCCUUUCCUCAUUUUCUUUUUUUGCGGUACGCGGGCCUCUCACUGUUGUGGCCUCUCCCGUUGCGGAGCACAGGCUCCGGACGCGCAGGCUCAGUGGCCAUGGCUCACGGGCCCAGCCGCUCCGCGGCAUGUGGGAUCUUCCCCGACCGGGGCACGAACCCGUGUGCCCUGCAUCGGCAGGCAGACUCUCAACCACUGUGCCACCAGGGAAGCCCAUUCUGCCCAUUUUUUGAUUGGGUUUUAUUUUUUGUUCUUGUUGUUGUUGUUAUUGAAUUGUAUGAGCUGUUUAUGUAUUUUGGAAAUUAAGCCUUUGUUGGUCACAUCGUUUGCAAAUAUUUUCGCCCAGUCCAUAGGUUGUCUUUUCCUUUUGUUUAUGGUUGCCUUUGCUGUGCAAAAGCUUAUAAGUUUGAUUAGGUCCCAUUUGUUUAUUUUUGCUUUUAUUUCUAUUGCCUUGGGAGACUGACCUAAGAAAACAUUGCUAUCAUUUAUGUCAGAGAAUGUUUUGCCUAUGUUCUCUUCUAGGAGUUUUAUGGUGUCAUGUCUUAUAUUUAAGUCUUUAAGCCAUUCUGAGUUUAUUUUUGUGUAUGGUGUGAGGGAGUGUUCUAAUUUCAUUGAUUUAUGUGUGUCUGUCCAGCUUUCCCAACACCACUUAAUGAAGAGACUGUCUUUUCUCCAUUGUACACUGAGUUGCUUUUAGGUCAGAAUUCCACCCUUUGUCCAUAAGCAGAAGCCCAAGUGUGUGAGUGGGUGGGGUAGCAGCAGGGUAGGCAGGUAGAAUGACUUGCCUAUUUGAGUAAUAUUGGAGGUCUACAAGCCAUCUUCCAAAGGAUUUAAAAAACACUAAUGGGACCCUGCAUUUCCUCAUUAGUCUGCAGAUUUCUGUGUGGCUGGAGUGCACGGUACAUGGGGUGGAGUGGUGGUGGGGGGAGCAGCUGGGAAGGAACAUGAGAUUUGGGUCCCCAGGGUCUUUGCCUGGGUCACAGGGCCACAGAAAUCCAUUCAGUCUGUUUAGACAAAUUACUCGGUGAACUAUCCAUUUCUCACUGAAGGUUUGGCCUAGAGCAAAAGGCAGAGGCUGGCUAGAGAGAGAUGGAGAGUGGGGACCUGCUUUGUGUUAAUGAGGCAGGUGGGUCACCAGCCCCGUAGUCCCCCCAUCCCGGGGGCACUUUGCUCCUCUUCUCUGGGGAAGGCUCUUUACUGGCAGCCUCCCACGUGGCCACCAGCUCAGCUCUGUUUGCAGGUAGAGACCUCUUCCUGGCCUGGCCCACUUUCCCCACAGUGACUCUGGCUCCUGGUGUUUUGCUGGCAUUAAUUAUAGACAGCAGCAAAGUGCCCAGAUGCCACAAGUGACUUUUUAUUUUUCCAUCUCACCUGAUGCCUUUGUUGUUUGCUCUAUUCUGCCCUGAAUCUUUGUGAAAUCUUAACAUUUGCAACCCCUCAAAUGGCUCACUUCACCUUUAGUUUCAUCUGAUGUCAGUUCCCGUAAGCAUCUGUGGUCUCACGGGAUGGCUCUUGUUUCUCUUAGCAUCUCAGGGUCUCUUUCUCCUGGACACCAUCCUUGCGUAUUACCACUCCUUCUCUCUUCCUUAGUGGAUUUCUCACUUUUUCCCUCUUUACCAAUUCUUACUUAUGCACAACCCCCCCCCCCACCAAAACUUGAUUAGGGGAGCUCAUUUUCUCAUCAUAGAUCUUGUCUUAACCUUGGGCUGAGCUGAGUGUGAGCAUGAAGUAUGAAAACUCAGACUCCCAGAACUCUAACUCAUUUCCACUAGAAACGUUACACACGGUGAGCAAGAAUGUGUGUGAGGGAGGGACUGGAGGAGAGGAGCAUUAGAGGAAGGGGAGAGUUUUCCACUGCUGGGAGUUUAUAUGGUAUAGUAGUCCUGGAGAUAGCCUGCCAAGACUGUUCAAAAGCCUGAGAAAUUUGGAAACUCUUUGACCCUGCAAUUUGAUUUCUAAGACUGAUUCUUAAGGAAAUAACCAUGGAUUUCCCCCAAAGAUUUAGUUUUACGUACUAUUUGUAAUAUGCAAAAAAAGUUGAAGAUGACUUAAUUGUCCAGCCUUUGAGCACAGGGGCAUAUACUACAGCUAACCAAAGGAUGCUGCAGAAGACUACUAAAUCAUGUCUAGCUUUAUUGGAUCCUUGUAAAAAAUCUGGAUAACAAAAUAAAACCAGGAAGGGGGGACUUCCCUGGUGGUCCAGUGGCUGAGACCCCGUGCUCCCAAUGCAGGGGGCCAGGGUUUGAUCCCUGGUCAGGGAAUUAGAUCCCCGCAUGUGCAGUGAAGAUCCCUGCAUGCUGCAACUAAGGCCCAGCACAGGCAAAUAAAUAAAUAAAUGUUAAAAAACAAAAAACAAAGACCAGGAAUGGUGUGUUAUCUGUAGUCAUCUGGGGUGGAGAAGAGUGGGUGACUUUUUCCUUCUUUUGACAGUUAUAUUUUCUAAAAUUUUUAGAUUAAACAUACAUUUCUUUGGCACUAAGAAAAACAACAGGUGCUUUAAAAACAAACGCUAUCCACCCAGCCAGCCACAAUAAUACACAGGUUGAAAAUUUAGGUUCAGUUAAAAAUCUUCCUCCAAUAAAUUCGGAAUUGAAUUCACAUUUGUAACAUUAUAAACAAAAUACUACAGGUCAAAGGGAGACCAAGUUGGAUGCAUUUGUUAAUGGACAUCAGUUGUCCACAAGCCUUAGAUAAACACAAGACUCAGGGCCAGAACUGUUGCUUUCUUACCCUUGCUUUUCUUACCAAUAAUAGCAAGUAGCACAAGGAUUAAGUGAUUGUAGUAGAGUUUGCUUUACUUCAUCUGCAGCUCACUGUGAAAUUGCUCAGCCCCAGAAGGGGUAGGUCUGGGUGAACAGAUGGCCAGGUUGAGCCCUGGGAAGGAGGCUGUAGUUCUGGAAGGGGUUCUGAAGUGGCGGGAGUGACCAGGGGUGGGAGGAGCGAGGGUGUUUACCCUGCUGAGUGUAUUAACAUAUGUGCCUCUGAUGCUUAGCUGCCAACUUGGCUUUGUUU
rnacentral:lncRNA from 1 species